GGUAUUUUGUUGAGCAAAUUGGCAUCGAUCUUCUCAUAGAACUUCUUGAUGUCUUCGCCACCUCUUGCAACGAGAUGGUCCACUUCUGGCUCGUAUCGUUGAUACAACACUGGCAAAGUGAGGGCGCACAAGAAUCCUGUGGAAAGAAAAAGGGAACCAUACAUGUCGAAGAGUGGUGCAGCAUUUGAAGCGAUGAAGAUCACAAGCAUAGUGAAGAUGGCAAUCUGGCAAAGGAGCGGAACUAUAUUGUACUCAACCACGUCGAAGAGGAACCAUAUCAGUGUGGCCCCAGCAAGAACUCCAGCAGAUAAAUUCCUGUCCUUCCACAGCAGAACGUCCGCAGCUGCAAAGUCCCAACAAUGCAAUCCAUAACUACAUCGGCUUAGAGGGAGGCUGUGGCACUGCAAAUAUUGUAGGGUAAUUGCCUAGAAACAAAGCAAAAAACAUCAUACCUUUGCCUCCACCCAGAAGCCGAUGGAUCGACUUGUGCCUGUGGUAUGGUCUUGCCACAUGUUGUCCGUGGUCAGGAUUGCUGGGGAGAUGAGGAGGCAUGGCUUCACGCGUUUGGGAUGUUUGACCUGAUUGAUUUUGUGUCUGAUUUGGGAAGUUACAGAGAUUACACCUUUAUAGGCACCCAAAAUGCUAGUAUGAUAUCCAAGGGAGCCUAUGUUGACAAGGAAAGGAUAGCUUGGCCUGUAGGAGGUUGAGCCAUUGAGGGGAAUAAACGUAUGAAGGGCAAGAGUUGCUUCAGCCAGGUGUUUUCUUCGUUUGUCUAGAAGCAAGUUUAGUUGUUAACAAUUAGUUAUGGCAGAAGCUUGCCGCGAUACAAUCUCAGUGAAAUUGUUGCCAUGAACUGGCAAGGCAUCAAAGUCCCUACACUCUGUGUAAUCUUCAAAACCCAAACCUAUUUGCUAUAACCUCCAAAUACUUCAUCA